UGGAGAAUUUCAUUUUCUUGACAGAAUAGGUGGUUCUAUGUUAAACACAACAUGAAGAAAAAAUAAAUGUACUUAAAAAGAGGUUGUAGAAGGACUAGGCAUGGUGGCUUGCGUCUGUAAUCCCAACACUUCAGGAGGCAGAGACUGGUGGAUUGUUAAGUCCGUGAGUGCAAGACCAGCCUGGAAAACAUGGUGAGACCCUGUCACUCCAAACAAACAAACAAACAAACAAAAACAAUAGCCAUGUGUGGUGGCAUGCACCUGUAGUCUCAGCUACUAGGGAGGCUGAAGUGGAAGGAUUACUUGAGCCCAGGACGCAAAGCCAAAGGAAACGUACAGGGUGACAUAAUAUAAUAAGAGGCCUACAUCUAUAGGCAGAGAUGGAACAAAGUUGUCUGUGAAGGAAGACCACAGAGACACUUCGUUUUCUUCAUGCUGAUAGCUCUCCAUAUGAAAAAUAAUUGGACCCAUAUGUAUCCACCCAAUUAAUGUACCAUUUUACAGUACAAUUCUACACAUCUUUAAUUUCCCAUAUAAAAAUUAUUAUUGUUGUUGUUUUAUAUCCCUAGUUUUGUUUUAUUUUACCAAUAUUUUUUGCCAAUCUUUAGGCUUAAUAUAUUUCUCUGAAUUUCAGCUCUUACUUCAUUUCCAUAUUAACUCUGAUUUUUUUUAAAUUUUGCAUCAUUGCUUUUGACAAAGACAUUAGAUAGAUGGUUCCUCACAUAAAAUUUAUUUUAAAUGUUUUGACAUAAUUAUAGAUUCCCAAGAGACUGCGAAAAACUAUGGGCAGGGAUGUUUCAUGUACCUUCUUACCAUUUCCCCAGUACUGUAUUCUGUAUGAUUGAAAUGUUUUCUGAUGAUUUAAAAGUCUUACAUCCUAGCUUUUUUAGUUGUCCUUUAUUUUACAUUUGCACUUUUCAAAUCUAUUUUUCUAACAAAUUUAAAAAUUAUUCACUCUUCUCUUGUCUUGAACAAAAUAAAACCUUUGAAUGCAAUACCAUCUUCUUAAUCCCUUUCUUAUUUUCUUCAUUACAGUCAAACCUGUUAGCUUCUAUUUAUUUAUUUAUUUAGAGACAGAGUCUCGUUCUGUCGCCCAGGCUGGAGUGCAGUGGUGUGAUCUCAGCUGUGCAACCUCCGCCUCCCAGUUUCAAGCGAUUCUCCUGCCUCAGCCUCCCGAGUACCUUGGACUAUAUGCACGUGCUGCCACCAUGCCAGGUGAAAUUUUGUAUAUAUAUAAAUAUUUUACAUACUUUAAGUUCUAUGUACAUACACGUGCACAAUGUGCAAGUUUGUUACAUAGGUACGCAUGUGCCAUGUUG
rnacentral:lncRNA from 1 species